rnacentral:sRNA from 1 species
CCUUCUUUUUUAUAUAAAGAGAGACCAGAGAUGUUU